CUACGGGGGGCUGCAGUGAGGAAUAUUGGACAAUGGGCGCAAGCCUGAUCCAGCAAUACCACGUGGACGAUGAAGGCUUUCGGGUUGUAAAGUCCUUUCAGUAGGGAAGAUAAUGACGGUACCUACAGAAGAAGCACCGGCUAACUCCGUGCCAGCAGCCGCGGUAAUACGGAGGGUGCUAGCGUUGUUCGGAAUUAUUGGGCGUAAAGCGUACGUAGGCUGUUUUGUAAGUUGGUUGUGAAAAUCCAGCGCUCAACGUUGGACUUGCAAUCAAAACUACAAGACUAGAGUAUGAUAGGGGAUGGCAGAAUUCCUAGUGUAAGGGUGAAAUCCGUAGAUAUUAGGAGGAAUACCGGUGGUGAAGACGGCUAUCUUGGUCAUAUCUGACGCUAAGGUACGAAGGUGUGGGUAGCAAACAGGAUUAGAUACCCCAGUAGUC
rnacentral:rRNA from 1 species